UACGUAGGUGGCGAGCGUUGUCCGGAUUUACUGGGCGUAAAGAGCGCGCAGGCGGCUGGUCAAGUCCGAUGUGAAAGCUCCCGGCUUAACUGGGAAAUUGCAUCGGAAACUGAUCGGCUGGAAGGUGGGAGAGGGUAGCGGAAUUCCCGGUGUAGUGGUGAAAUGCGUAGAUAUCGUAAGGAAGACCAGUGGCGAAGGCGGGUCUCUGGACAGUUCCUGACGCUGAGGCACGAAGGUCAGGGGAGCAAACGGG
rnacentral:rRNA from 1 species